rnacentral:rRNA from 1 species
GAUGAACGCUGGCGGCGUGCUUAACACAUGCAAGUCGAGCGAAGCGAUUUAAGUGAAGUUUUCGGAUGGAUCUUAAAUUGACUGAGCGGCGGACGGGUGAGUAACGCGUGGAUAACCUGCCUCACACAGGGGGAUAACAGUUAGAAAUGACUGCUAAUACCGCAUAAGCGCACAGUACCGCAUGGUACAGUGUGAAAAACUCCGGUGGUGUGAGAUGGAUCCGCGUCUGAUUAGGUAGUUGGUGAGGUAACGGCCCACCAAGCCGACGAUCAGUAGCCGACCUGAGAGGGUGACCGGCCACAUUGGGACUGAGACACGGCCCAAACUCCUACGGGAGGCAGCAGUGGGGAAUAUUGCACAAUGGGCGAAAGCCUGAUGCAGCAACGCCGCGUGAGUGAAGAAGUAUCUCGGUAUGUAAAGCUCUAUCAGCAGGGAAGAAAAUGACGGUACCUGACUAAGAAGCCCCGGCUA